UCGUAAGUUAAGUGCGAAUUACCUACAAC
rnacentral:sRNA from 1 species